GAUGAAGAACGCAGCGAAAAGCGAUAAGUAAUGUGAAUUGCAGAAUUCAGUGAAUCAUCGAAUCUUUGAACGCACAUUGCGCCCGCUAGUAUUCUGGCGGGCAUGCCUGUUCGAGCGUCAUUUCAACCAUCAAGCCCUGUUUAGGCUUGUGUUGGGGCCCUGCGGCUGCCGCAGCCCCCUAAAUGCAGUGGCGGGCUCGUUGUCACUCCGAGCGCAGUAGCGUAUCUCGCUCUGGGCGUGGCGGCGGGUGCUAGCCGUGAAACACCCACUAAGGUUGACCUCGGAUCAGGUAGGAAUACCCGCUGAACUUAAGCAUAUCAAUAAGCGGAGGA
rnacentral:misc_RNA from 1 species